rnacentral:rRNA from 1 species
UACGGGGGGGGCAAGCGUUGUUCGGAAUUACUGGGCGUAAAGCGCGCGUAGACGGUUUUGUAAGUCAGAUGUGAAAUCCCUGGGCUCAACCUGGGAACUGCAUUUGAGACUGCAUGGCUAGAGUAUGGAAGAGGGAAGUGGAAUUUCCGGUGUAGCGGUGAAAUGCGUAGAGAUGUGGAGGAAUACCGAUGGCGAAGGCAGCCCCCUGGGAUAACACUGACGCUCAUGCACGAAAGCGUGGGGAGCAAACAGG